rnacentral:piRNA from 1 species
CUGAAAUGAAGAGAAAACUCUCUGCUGAUC